rnacentral:rRNA from 1 species
GAGUUUGAUCCUUGGCUCAGGAUGAACGCUAGCUACAGGCUUAACACAUGCAAGUCGAGGGGAAGCGACAUCGAAAGCUUGCUUUUGAUGGGCGUCGACCGGCGCACGGGUGAGUAACGCGUAUCCAACCUGCCCACCACUUGGGGAUAACCUUGCGAAAGUAAGACUAAUACCCAAUGAUAUCUCUAGAAGACAUCUGAAAGAGAUUAAAGAUUUAUCGGUGAUGGAUGGGGAUGCGUCUGAUUAGCUUGUUGGGCGGGUAACGGCCCACCAAGGCAACGAUCAGUAGGGGUUCUGAGAGGAAGGUCCCCCACAUUGGAACUGAGACACGGUCCAAACUCCUACGGGAGGCAGCA